rnacentral:rRNA from 1 species
UACAGAGGUGGCAAGCGUUGUUCGGAAUUACUGGGCGUAAAGGGCGCGUAGGCGGUUCGUUAAGUCCUGUGUGAAAUCCCCCGGCUCAACUGGGGAACUGCACAGGAAACUAGCGGGCUUGAGUUCGGGAGAGGGAAGCGGAAUUCCGGGUGUAGCGGUGAAAUGCGUAGAUAUCCGGAGAAACACCGGUGGCGAAGGCGGCUUCCUGGACCGACACUGACGCUGAGGCGCGAAAGCUAGGGGAGCAAACGGG